ensembl:lncRNA
AGACCCCAAACUCCACCAGCCAGGCCCCUGGGGGAAGCCAGUCUAUGGAAUAGCUAUGGUGCCAUGACAAAGGAGAAAGUUCUAGAUGCUGGAGAGAGACUUCAAGACACUCUAUCUCCCAUCUGCAUUUCAAUCAUCCUCCCAUGGGUGGCCUCCACAAAGUUCUUGUUGUAAAAGCAUCAUUUUGGUUAAGCCUAAAGGGAAGCUUGAGAGGAUGGUCAACUUUAAGAUUUUUCCAGAUCUUCAGAGGAUAAGAGUCUAUCCCAGAAAACUUCACUCCCUGUAAAUUCCAACAAGGAAUUCAGUUGGACAUGCCACAGACACCUGCCGACCCUCCUAAGUGACAGCUCCUGAUACCUGUUUGGGCGACAUCUCACUUUUGCCUUCUGGCUGUUAAUCUGGAACAGUUUUUAAGCUAGAUAAGAAGCCC